rnacentral:rRNA from 1 species
AUUGAACGCUGGCGGCAGGCCUAACACAUGCAAGUCGAACGAGUGGCGGACGGGUGUGCAAUGUCUGUGAAACUGCCCGAUGGAGGGGGCUAACUACUGGAAACGGUAGCUAAUACCGCAUACCAUCGGAUGUGCCCAGAUGGGAUUAGCUAGGUGGUGGGGUACCGGCUCACCUAGGCGACGUUCCCUCGCUGGUCUGAGAGGAUGACCAGCAACACGAGAACUAGGACACGGUCCAGACGCCUACGUGAGGCAUCAGUGGGGAAUAUUGCAGAAUGGGCGCAAGCCUGAUGCAGCCAUGCGGCGUGUAUGUAGGAGGCCGUCGGGUUGUAAAGUACUGUCAGCGAGGAGGCGUUACUCGCAGAAGAAGCACCGGCUAACUCCGUGCCAGCAGCCGCGGUAAUUC